CAUAGAUUGUCUUUUUCUGGUUUUCUGAAGAAAUAUAAACAAAGAAAGAAAAGGUAAAACA
rnacentral:ribozyme from 14 species